GAGUUUGAUUCCUGGCUCAGGACGAACGCUGGCGGCGUGCUUAAUACAUGCAAGUCGAGCGGACUUGCUGGAGCUUGCUCCAGCAGGUUAGCGGCGGACGGGUGAGUAACACGUGGGCAACCUGCCUGUAAGACUGGGAUAACUCCGGGAAACCGGAGCUAAUACCGGAUAGUAUCUUGAACCGCAUGGUUCAAGAUGGAAAGACGGUUUCGGCUGUCACUUGCAGAUGGGCCCGCGGCGCAUUAGCUAGUUGGUGAGGUAAUGGCUCACCAAGGCAACGAUGCGUAGCCGACCUGAGAGGGUGAUCGGCCACACUGGGACUGAGACACGGCCCAGACUCCUACGGGAGGCAGCAGUAGGGAAUCUUCCGCAAUGGACGAAAGUCUGACGGAGCAACGCCGCGUGAGUGAUGAAGGUUUUCGGAUCGUAAAACUCUGUUGUCAGGGAAGAACAAGUGCGAGAGUAACUGCUCGCACCU
rnacentral:rRNA from 2 species